rnacentral:tRNA from 1 species
GAGGGUGUAGCUCAGCGGUAGAGCGCAUGCUUAGCAUGCAGGAGGUCCUGGGUUCAAUCCUCAGUACCUCG